CCUGUAUCACAUGAAAUACGUUCUGAGGAAACUAUUUUGCAAAUCGCAAUUACGUUACAUGCCAACAUAUAAGCAGUGCUAUUACGUUGGUCCUUAACCUAAUAAAGCCAAUUUAUUGCAGUGCUAUUACGUUUGUCCUGAACAUAAUACAUCCAAAGCAGGUUUCUUUUCACACGUAGCAGCUAAUGCUGUUCAUUUUGUUUUAAUUAUUUACUCCCUUUUUUCUGAUCGGGCUACAAAAUAUUAUUUAUGCCAGGGGGAGUCAAAUGGCGGCACCCAGAUAAUUUUUAUCUGGCCCUCCAACUGGUUUUUGAUGUUUAAAACCGCUCGCAAUCUGAUAUCAAAGUCCCCGCAAAGGUUUUCAUAAUAUUCACUCAGUGAAUGUCAACCCGUUCUCACUCCUGACCGUUCUCACGCUGAAGAAGUCUCCUUCAGAACACAUCGCGAUAUUUGGCAUCAGUUCGCGUGUGCUGGAUGUUGCUGAAAAGACAAAAAGGGCCUUUUGGAAAUGGAUGAAGGAGACAGAAAGCUGCAAAGGCAAAUAAUUGCAAUGGAUUACUUGCAGAUUACUUAGUCCUUCUUUUUAGGAUCUCUACAACAUCAAACUCAACAGCUCUUUUAAGAGCCGACCCUCACAAGAGCUACUAGUGAGUCGCUGCAAACCUGCCGUGAUCAGCCCUUUCCAGAGAAGGAAGACCAGUCCUUAUAUCAAAGCAAGCUCAUCGAAGUCCUUUGUUUAGGGUGAGGAAGGAACAUGACCAUCUCAUGCCCAAAGAAGACAGAAGUCCAUUGAUAGCAAGUGAAGUCACUAACAGAAGAUCCUAGAGGAAAAACGACUGAUGUGCAGCUACGGAGGAACACAAGAGGCAGAAACUAUGCAUGGCCAUGGCUUCUUCAUGAGUACGACCAGGACUGAAGAACGCCUGACAAUGGGAUGUUAAGACUUCUUCCUCUGGUUGAGAAAAAGCUACAGCACAUCAGUGAUCACAUCUUCUGGUCAUCAGUUGUACUGUAGAGUACAACUGAACAAACUGUUUAGAAGAAGAAGAACAUGAACAUGAUAGAGACAUGUACAGGGAAGAGCAAGAACCCAGUUCAGCUGUGAUAAUGAAUCUUUAUUUUAAACUCAAUAUCAAAUCUGUUUUCUGGAUCAUAGUUGACUGGAUGGGAUUCUGUGGCGCUCAUUUGUGCAAUAGGAGUAAAGUCUGUGAAUGGAUUAUUAUGACGUUAACGUAUUUUUGAAGACACGUUUUUAUUUAUCUUGAAUCUCAUUUGUCUUUAUGCAAAUUUCAACCUUAUGCUGUAUCCUCCAAUAAGGUGUUGUGUAAUAAAUUAUGGUGAACGUGGUGUUUGGUAGAGUAAAUACAAUUUAACUAAGCUGAGUUUAUUUCAUACACUGUAAUGAAUUGCUGUAAAAAUUACAGCAAUAUUUUACAGCCGAUGGCUGUAUUUUAAUAAUACAGCAUAUUGCUGUAAAUUGCAAUGAAUUCCAGGGGCGUGGCGGUUUGAAUCAAAUUUACAGAAUAUUGCUGUAAAUUUCAAAUAUACAGAGGCAUUGUGGGAUCUCCAACGGUCAAGAUUCGAGUAGCAGCAAGAGGAGUGAUUUACAACUGUGGUAUUUAUCUGGAGAGAGGAACAAAGACGAAAGGAAAAGUGCCAUCUAAAACAACAGGCAGACAGUUCAGAAGAAACGGGUUGCGUUCAACCUACAUGUGGCCACUCUUCUGUGCAAAGUGAUGGAUUUUCAGUGGAAUUUCUGAAAUCCUCUCUUUGAAUCCUGGGAUGGAACAUCAUCUGGAGCAGAAUUGUUCUUUUUUGAUCGCAAGUUUGUUGGACUUGUUGUUUGGCCAUGUUGGUAUGUUCAUGAAGUGAUAAAAGUGAUGUGGGUUUUAAGAAAUGUUUUUAUAUGACCCUGUUGGUCAAGUUAUAGUUAUAAUUGUAUUUCUUUGUGUGAAGGGCCAUGAUGGCCAAUAAGUAAUUUAAAAACAU